rnacentral:rRNA from 1 species
CCUACGGGUGGCAGCAGUGGGGAAUAUUGCACAAUGGAGGAAACUCUGAUGCAGCGACGCCGCGUGAGUGAAGACGUACUUCGGUAUGUAAAGCUCUAUCAGCAGGGAAGAAAAUGACGGUACCUGAUUAAGAAGCCCCGGCUAACUACGUGCCAGCAGCCGCGGUAAUACGUAGGGGGCAAGCGUUAUCCGGAUUUACUGGGUGUAAAGGGAGCGUAGGCGGGAGUGCAAGUUGAAGGUAAAAUCCGGGGGCUAAACUGGGGGCUGCGUUUUAAACUUGUUUUCUUGAGUGGAGGAGAGGUAGGCGGAAUUCCUGGUGUAGCGGUGAAAUGCGUAGAUAUUAGGAGGAACACCAGUGGCGAAGGCGGCCUACUGGGCUGUAACUGACGCUGAGGCUCGAAAGCGUGGGGAGCAAACAGGAUUAGAUACCCCAGUAGUC